rnacentral:lncRNA from 1 species
GACUUCUGCACCUCAUCUCUGGGAUGGUUUCAGUGGGUCCUAGAUUGCUUUCUGUGCUCCCUGGGACAGUUGGUGGCACUCUGUGAGACUACUCUGAGGUACCCUUACAAGCUACUCUUAAUUUUCCCCGCUGUUCUGCUUGUUGGACAUGGCAUCAUGCUGCAAUGUUAACAGUCUUUCAAAGCUAAGCGCGGAGGAUGUGAUUCCAUCCCUGGCAGUUCUUAGAUUCCCUGUAAGUGCCCAGGCUUCUUCACUCUCUGAUCUUGGUCAGGUUACUUAACUUUCUCUUCCUGAAUUUCCUCAGCUGUAAAAUAGGAAUGAAAGCGGUACUGAAAUCAUUGUGCCAUUCUGCAGAUUAAUUGCCAGCACUCAAUAAAUAUUUGCUCUUUUAUUAUUAUAAUUAUUCUACUGCCUCCACUUUUAAGUGUAAGCAAGGAUUACCUACAGAAGCUUCACCACCCAAGUCCUUAUUAAUUGAUUUGUUAUCUUUACUGAUUUCUUUCAGCAAGUGAAAAAGAUAGCACUUUUAAAAAACUUCCUUUCUUCUGUUGUAGUUGGAUUACAGAAGUGAUUUUUAAAGACACUAUUAAUAGAGGUAUUUUAUCUUGGUACAAAAUUAUUUAAAAAAUAGACUUAAACAGAGACUUCCACUUAUGGGUAUAAUAGACUAAGACCCUGUUGGAUGAUUUCUUCACCCUGCAUACAACAACUGUGAGACUGCACGUAAUCAUAUGAUAGUACUGGAGACUGAAGAGAAGAUGACAGGAUCUAAUGGGGGAGUCCAUGCUUGCUUGAAGGAG